CCACUAUCUUUUUUUUCCUUCUUCUAUAUAU
rnacentral:sRNA from 1 species